rnacentral:rRNA from 1 species
AUUGAACGCUGGCGGCAGGCUUAACACAUGCAAGUCGAGCGGGGUGAUGGUGCUUGCACUAUCACUUAGCGGCGGACGGGUGAGUAAUGCUUAGGAAUCUGCCUAUUAGUGGGGGACAACAUCUCGAAAGGGAUGCUAAUACCGCAUACGUCCUACGGGAGAAAGCAGGGGAUCACUUGUGACCUUGCGCUAAUAGAUGAGCCUAAGUCGGAUUAGCUAGUUGGUGGGGUAAAGGCCUACCAAGGCGACGAUCUGUAGCGGGUCUGAGAGGAUGAGCCGCCACACUGGGACGGAGACACGGCCCGGACUCCUACGGGAGGCAGCAGUGGGGAAUAUUGGACAAUGGGGGGAACCCUGAUCCAGCCAUGCCGCGUGUGUGAAGAAGGCCUUAUGGUUGUAAAGCACUUUAAGCGAGGAGGAGGCUCUUUUGGUUAAUACCCAAGAUGAGUGGGCGUUACUCGCAGAAUAAGCACCGGCUAACUCUGUGCCAGCAGCCGCAGUAA